ACAAAACUAUGGUGUCUCAGGUUGUAGCUGGCUCCUCGGAGCAAUGUGCACGCCCGCCAUUUUUAUCUUUCCACCUGUGCACCGACUGUAGGUCUGGAUACCUCUCGCCGCAAGGCGGAUGCGAGGGUUGCUCGUAAAGGGCUCCCCUCGAACUUCCAGGCUCUACGUCUUUUUACACACCCCAAUAGUAUGAUGCAGAAUGUAGUCAAUGGGCUUCACAGCCUAUAAAACACUAUACAACUUUCAGCAACGGAUCUCUUGGCUCUCGCAUCGAUGAAGAACGCAGCGAAAUGCGAUAAGUAAUGUGAAUUGCAGAAUUCAGUGAAUCAUCGAAUCUUUGAACGCACCUUGCGCUCCUUGGUAUUCCGAGGAGCAUGCCUGUUUGAGUGUCAUUAAAUUCUCAACCUCACCCGUUUUCUGAACGGGGUCGAGGCUUGGAUGUGGGGGUUUGUGCAGGCUGCCUUCACUGGCGGUCUGCUCCCCUGAAAUGCAUUAGCGAGGUUCAUGCUGAACUUCCGUCUAUUGGUGUGAUAUUAUCUACGCCGUGACGAGAUCAGACUCGCUUCUAACCGUCCGCGAGGACAUACCUUGACAUUUGACCUCAAAUCAGUAGGACUACCCGCUGACUAGCAUAUCAUAGCCGGAGGAACGGAUCAUACGAUACUUAUGGUGUCUCAGUUGAACUUGAUCUCCGAGCCAUGGGACGCCCGCCAUUUUUUAUCUUUUCCUGUGACCCGAACUGUGAAGGUGAUACCUCUCUCGCUAGGGCGAUGGCAAGGUUGUCUCUAAGUCUCUGAAUUCCAGGCUCAGAGUGUUUAACCAUAGUAUGAUGAUGCAAGUGGAUCUAUGGUUCACUGCUUAAACAUAUACCUCGACAGGAAUCUUGUGUCUCGCAUGGAAGCGCGAAGGCUAUAUAGUGGCAUUGCCAAUGGAUGCAAUUGAGCCUGUCUCUG
rnacentral:rRNA from 1 species